GGAUCAUUGCUGGAACUGUGUCCGCAAGGACACAACCCCAGAUACCCUUUGUGAACUUAUUCUUAUAUCGUUGCCUCGGCGCUGAGCUGGGGGCUUCUUUCCAAGGAGCUCUCCCAUGGUCUCUCGGGACGAUGGAGCAAGCCCGCCGGCGGCCCUUCUAAACUCUUGUUUUUAUUACGUAUCUCUUCUGAGUUAUUCAAAACAAAAUGAAUCAAAACUUUCAACAACGGAUCUCUUGGUUCUGGCAUCGAUGAAGAACGCAGCGAAAUGCGAUAAGUAAUGUGAAUUGCAGAAUUCAGUGAAUCAUCGAAUCUUUGAACGCACAUUGCGCCCGCUGGAAUUCCAGCGGGCAUGCCUGUUCGAGCGUCAUUUCACCCCUCAAGCCUCGCUUGGUGUUGGAGCACUACCGUUUGUAUAAAGCGGUAGGCUCUGAAAUUCAGUGGCGGGCUCGCUAAGACUCUGAGCGUAGUAGUUUAUCACCUCGCUUUGGAAGGAUUAGCGGUGCUCUUGCCGUAAAACCCCCCAAUUUCUGAAUUUUGACCUC
rnacentral:rRNA from 1 species